GCCACUUGAGGUUUCGCAGACCCCAGAGCAAGGCGAAAAGCGUAAUAGUUGACCUUUUUUGGUCAUCUUCUUCGCUGAAAGCCUUUUUGUUUUGGGAAAAGUUUGCAAAGUCUUUUAAUGUGAGUGCAGGAAAUAUUAUGACUAUUUAUUUAGUCUAUUUUCUUGAUCUGAAAUCAGGUAGGAUUACCCGCUGAACUUAA
rnacentral:misc_RNA from 1 species